rnacentral:ncRNA from 2 species
ACCGCUGGGGGCGCAGAAAUGCUGAGAUGGCCUUUGGGCCGGUCCCUUUGAACCUGAUGUAGGCAAUCCUACCGUAGGGAAGCGCAGAGAUA